rnacentral:rRNA from 1 species
GUACACUCCUGCGGGAGGCAGCAGUGGGGAAUAUUGGACAAUGGGCGCAAGCCUGAUCCAGCCAUGCCGCGUGAGUGAUGAAGGCCCUAGGGUUGUAAAGCUCUUUCACCGGUGAAGAUAAUGACGGUAACCGGAGAAGAAGCCCCGGCUAACUUCGUGCCAGCAGCCGCGGUAAUACGAAGGGGGCUAGCGUUGUUCGGAUUUACUGGGCGUAAAGCGCACGUAGGCGGACUAUUAAGUCAGGGGUGAAAUCCCGGGGCUCAACCCCGGAACUGCCUUUGAUACUGGUAGUCUUGAGUUCGAGAGAGGUGAGUGGAAUUCCGAGUGUAGAGGUGAAAUUCGUAGAUAUUCGGAGGAACACCAGUGGCGAAGGCGGCUCACUGGCUCGAUACUGACGCUGAGGUGCGAAAGCGUGGGGAGCAAACAGGAUUAGAAACCCGAGUAGUCCC